rfam:Camelus ferus unplaced genomic scaffold scaffold1160, whole genome shotgun sequence.
ACAGGUAUAGCUCAGUGGUAGAGGGUGUGCUUAGCAUACAUGAGAUCCUGGGUUCAAUCCUCAGUACUUCCA